rnacentral:rRNA from 1 species
AACGAACGCUGGCGGCAUGCCUAACACAUGCAAGUCGAACGAAGCCUUCGGGCUUAGUGGCGCACGGGUGCGUAACGCGUGGGAAUCUGCCCUUGGGUUCGGAAUAACAGUUAGAAAUGACUGCUAAUACCGGAUGAUGUCUUCGGACCAAAGAUUUAUCGCCCAAGGAUGAGCCCGCGUCGGAUUAGCUAGUUGGUGAGGUAAAGGCUCACCAAGGCGAAGAGCCGUAGCUGGUCUGAGAGGAUGAUCAGCCACACUGGGACUGAGACACGGCCCAGACUCGUACGGGAGGCAGCAGUGGGGAAUAUUGUACAAUGGGCGAAAGCCUGAUCCAGCAAUGCCGCGUGAGUGAUGAAGGCCUUAGGGUUGUAAAGCUCUUUUACCCGGGAUGAUAAUGACAGUACCGGGAGAAUAAGCCCCGGCUAACUCCGUGCCAGCCGCCGCAGUAAAAC